UGAUCGACGGGAAUGCACUUUAAAAACUGCAAGCCGACUUGAUAUACAGUCGUAAAACAAAUAUCAAAAAAUAAAUGCUGAUGAUAACAUCCGCGACCUAGAAGCUAAAGUUAAAGCGGCGGAAGCCAAAUUAGCAGAACUUUUAGGUGCCCGACAAGCAGUUUUUGCGCAAGCAUAUACUGUUUAAAGGCCAUCUGUAGUUUCUUUUUCUGAUGGGAUACUACAGGUGUAAAUACAGUCAGGAUGCUCCCGAUAAAUUGACAGAUUAUCGGGAAAAGAUUUUGUCUUACUUUUGUUGUUGAUUUUUGGUUGGGAUACAGCAAGAGGAGAAUUUACAACCAAAUAAGCUUGUAGAUGUUUUUAAAAUGAAUUCUUCGGACUCCGCUUCACUGGCGGACAUCUCCACAA
rnacentral:tmRNA from 1 species